AGUGAACGCUGGCGGUAGGCCUAACACAUGCAAGUCGAACGGCAGCACAGAGGAGCUUGCUCCUUGGGUGGCGAGUGGCGGACGGGUGAGGAAUACAUCGGAAUCUACUCUGUCGUGGGGGAUAACGUAGGGAAACUUACGCUAAUACCGCGUACGACCUACGGGUGAAAGCAGGGGAUCUUCGGACCUUGCGCGAUUGAAUGAGCCGAUGUCGGAUUAGCUAGUUGGCGGGGUAAAGGCCCACCAAGGCGACGAUCCGUAGCUGGUCUGAGAGGAUGAUCAGCCACACUGGAACUGAGACACGGUCCAGACUCCUACGGGAGGCAGCAGUGGGGAAUAUUGGACAAUGGGCGCAAGCCUGAUCCAGCCAUACCGCGUGGGUGAAGAAGGCCUUCGGGUUGUAAAGCCCUUUUGUUGGGAAAGAAAUCCAGCCGGCUAAUACCUGGUUGGGAUGACGGUACCCAAAGAAUAAGCACCGGCUAACUUCGUG
rnacentral:rRNA from 1 species